CCCACCCAGUGCCUCCUGCACCCCACUGAACAGCUGAUCAUUGGCAAGUGGGAGGUGCUGAAGGGGAAGAGGAGGAGCUUGUCAGCAAGGCCUGUAGUGGGGCGGGCGGAGCUGGCUGCCAGUGGGUGCUGAGCACCUAUUUUUCCUCUGUUGGUUCUGCAGCCCCAUAGCUCCCAUGGAGUCGCUGACUUGGCUCCUUUCGCACUCUAGAGAGAGGGGCAGAACCAGGGCUAUGGCUGAUCUAUGGGGCACCAGAGACUGUCUGGUUUAGCCAAUGAAGGAAGGGGCUGGAUUCAAUGGAUCCUUCCAGUUCUAGGAGAUAGGGUACAUCCAUUAUCUUUUUUUUUUUUUCUUACUGCACAUCAGACCCAGGACGUUCACCUAGCAGUUCUUGGGGCUGUGGGACAGAACUGAGCUUCAGUGGCAGCAGAGGGAGAACGGUUGGGACUGAGCUGUCUGGGGAAUAUUUUAAUCCUUAUUUAAUUUUCAGAGGAUUAAAUCAAUGCAGCUU